UAUCCAUGGUGUGGACAAUAUCUCUUUGGUAUUCCCUAAAUCUUUCCCAAGUAUCUAAAAGAUCUUCAUCUUCUUUUUGUUUAAAAUUUCUUAUCUUGUUCCUUAAGAGA
rnacentral:snoRNA from 1 species